GACGAACGCUGGCGGCGUGCCUAACACAUGCAAGUCGAGCGGAGUCGAUCGACGGAAGCCUUCGGGCGGAAGAUGGUUGACUUAGCGGCGGAUGGGUGAGUAACGCGUGGGCAACCUGCCUCGAAGACCGGGAUAACAGCCCGAAAGGGCUGCUAAUACCGGAUGUGGUCAAAGAUCCGCAUGGAUUUUUGAUUAAAGGGGAAACCCGUUUCGAGAUGGGCCCGCGUCCUAUCAGCUAGUUGGUGAGGUAAAAGCUCACCAAGGCGACGACGGGUAGCCGGCCUGAGAGGGUGACCGGCCACACUGGAACUGAGACACGGUCCAGACUCCUACGGGGGGCAGCAGUGGGGAAUCUUCCACAAUGGGCGAAAGCCUGAUGGAGCGACGCCGCGUGAGCGAAGAAGGCCUUCGGGUUGUAAAGCUCUGUCGUGGAGGGACGAAGGGAAGUGACGGUACCUCCGGAGGAAGCCACGGCUAACUACGUG
rnacentral:rRNA from 1 species